AGUCUGCAACUCGACUGCAUGAAGCUGGAAUCGCUAGUAAUCGCGAAUCAGAAUGUCGCGGUGAAUACGUUCCCGGGUCUUGUACACACCGCCCGUCACACCAUGGGAGUUGGAAGCGCCCGAAGUCUGUGACCUAACCGUAAGGGAGGAGCAGCCGAAGGUGAAGCCAGUGACUGGGGUGAAGUCGUAACAAGGUAUC
rnacentral:rRNA from 1 species